AGAGUUUGAUCCUGGCUCAGAUUGAACGCUGGCGGAAUGCUUUACACAUGCAAGUCGAACGGCAGCACGGGAGCUUGCUCCUGGUGGCGAGUGGCGAACGGGUGAGUAAUGCGUCGGAACGUACCGAGUAAUGGGGGAUAACGCAGCGAAAGCUGUGCUAAUACCGCAUACGCCCUGAGGGGGAAAGUGGGGGAUCGCAAGACCUCACGUUAUUCGAGCGGCCGACGUCUGAUUAGCUAGUUGGUGGGGUAAUGGCCUACCAAGGCGACGAUCAGUAGCGGGUCUGAGAGGAUGAUCCGCCACACUGGAACUGAGACACGGUCCAGACUCCUACGGGAGGCAGCAGUGGGGAAUUUUGGACAAUGGGGGCAACCCUGAUCCAGCCAUUCCGCGUGAGUGAAGAAGGCCUUCGGGUUGUAAAGCUCUUUCAGC
rnacentral:rRNA from 1 species